rnacentral:rRNA from 1 species
UAGCGGCGGACGGGUGAGUAACACGUAGGUAACCUACCUAUAAGACUGGGAUAACUUCGGGAAACCGGAGCUAAUACCGGAUAAUAUUUCGAACCGCAUGGUUCGAUAGUGAAAGAUGGCUUUGCUAUCACUUAUAGAUGGACCUGCGCCGUAUUAGCUAGUUGGUAAGGUAACGGCUUACCAAGGCAACGAUACGUAGCCGACCUGAGAGGGUGAUCGGCCACACUGGAACUGAGACACGGUCCAG